AUGAUCAAACAUCGAGGGGUCUGUUCUCCAGGUGAUGUGUGCAUGGAACUCCCAUUAAUGUUAAUGGGAAUCCUGCAGCUAAGCACAGUGACUGGAGACAAGAGGCUGAAGGUGUGUGCUUCAGGAACAGUGAUGGGUGCCCAUGGUGCAGAGCAGAGUAAUAUUGAGGGUGAAGCAUUCCAGUCAUCACUGUGCUGCCAAUAUGAAUGAAGACCCAGAGGGAAAAGGAGGCAGAGGAGCUGCCAAAAACAGGCAAUGGAAGAAAGUAAGUGAGAUGGGAAGAAGAGUCACCAGACGCAUCCUGGGAUGAAAAUGAAAAGAUGUUGAAGAUUUGUCAUUUUCAUUGUUACCAUUUUAUGUUAUAUUUUGAAUACAAGAGCUUUUGUGGAGGAAGUGUGUGUGGUUUUAAAUAAUGGUUUACAGAAAAUUCAUCUUUAAUUUAAUGUACCUGUUCCUCAUAGGAUUUUUAAAUCUGUUUAUUCCUGAGCACUAAAGAGAUUCAUAAGCAAAAACAAAACAAAGCAAACAAAAAAAGCUCUCUAUAAGUGAAAGGGUGGAAUUCUAAUUAUUUAUCAAAUUUGUUCAGUUAUUAUCAUCAUGGGAUAGCUACAUAUUUGCAUUCAUUUUUUUCCUAAAUACAUACUGUUUAAUUGAAUAUUCACUAAUCUGCAUAAUUCACUUUUUUUAAAGCUUUCUAUACUUCUUGUUUGCACUUUUGAGGUCCAGAAUUUUAUUUUAUUUUAUUUUAUUUUAUUUUAUUUUAUUUUAUUUUAUUUUAUUUUAUUAAUUAAUUAAUUAAUUAAUUAAUUAUUUAUUUAUUUAUUUUUUGUGAAAGAAGGAGCAAGGGGAGGGGCAGAGGGACAGAGAGAAAAUCUCAAGUAGACUUCACACUGAGUGAAGAGCCAGCCUUAGGGCUUGAUCUCACAACCCUGAGAUCAUGACCAGAGCCAAAACCAAGUGUCAGACACUUAACCAACUAGGCCACUCAAGCACCCUGAGGCCUGGAAUUUUAGAAAACGCUUCUGACAAGAGUAUAUUUCAACCUGGUAGGAAUUACCCUUGCUUGAUAACCUUGACUGGUCAAUAACCAUGGAUGAGCCAUGGAUUGAUUUGUUUUUAAUAACGAGGUCUUAGCCCCUAUGAUAGUCAUUUCUAUCUAAUGUGGAGUUUGGAACAGCAUCCCAUUUUCUUCUGAUGCUCUGUGAACUGCCCUCCUCUACUUGCUAAAAAGUAUGCCAGUCCCAGCCUAGUGGUAACUAACUUGUAGCAUUAUUCAGCGUGAGACUAGCCCAUAAAAGGAUAAUGUAUUUGGAUAUUUUGAUGAUGCUUCACAGAGACUGGAUCUCCAAAGCCUGUGUUCCACUUGCCCCUAGGAUAAGGAAACUGGUGGAGGUACUCUGCAAGGAAAAGGAAAUAAUGUAUUUACUCGCCCCCCCCCCCCCCCCCCCCAGAGUCUUUGAAGAGGCAGAAAGUCUGGUGGGGAAUUACAGCACUGUGUAAUCUGCUCUUUGCCUCUCUUUUAAAGAGGGCCUAGGACAUAGCCCAUGCCAGAUACAUACAGCAUCUGCUCUUCUUUCUUUGGCACCCUAUUCUCAGUGUCAGGAGGCUGGACCUCAUGGACCACAUCAGCUAGCUCCUCACAGGCUAAUAGCUGGAUUUAGCAAAUGAGGAAUCUUGGCAAGAGAAGGAGGGGGAAAAUGAAGUCAUGGCACAUUUCCUCCUGGCUCCCUCUACUUAAGAGCUUGCCUCAGACUGAUGGUAUCUCUUGAUGGAAGGUCACUUCUCUCCAAUACUCCUUUUGUACAUAACUAUUCUGUUUCAGCAAUUCCUCCCAUGCACCAUCCCUCAGGAAUAGAAGUAGUAACAGCCCACUCCUUUAGCCCCAGAGUCUUCUCUCAUGUUUUCCCCACUCUCUACACACAUUUUUGUGAAUAAUCCUUUUGAAAAUAGGUCCUCCUUGAGUUAUGAUAAUUUGUAUGUGUUAUCUGUUUCCUGUUGGAAUCCUAGUUGACAAAUACAGUCAAUAAUGAAUAGUUUAUUAAAUAUUUACUAUUCCAAGAGAUUUAUGGGUAUUGAAUCAUUAAAUCCACUUAUGAGGACAAAUCAGGAGAUACUAUGAUUAUCCCCAUUUUACAGCCGAGGAGAGAUUAAACCAUACGCACAAGGCGCACAGCAAGAAAGCGGUGAGAUGUGAUUUGCACCAGAGUGUUCUGUCUCCGGAGCUUGGGCCCUGCGCAAAUACCCAUUCAAUGAAUGAAUGCAGCUAGAAAUGCAUGAGGGGUGCAGUUUUCCUGUUCCUUCAGAAGUACUGGGUAUGAUAAUUUACAUUUUUAGCUAAUUUAAUCUAUAAAGAGUUACUUCAUUUUAAUUUGCAUUUUGUUGAUUAAUGAUGAAUAUUUAUUUCCGUAUGUUAUCCCUAGCCACUUGUCCUCAAAAGAGAUUGUCUUUUUGUGGUCUUUGACUAUUUCUCUAUUAAAAUCAUUGAGUUUUCCUAUUUUAUGGGUUCUUUAUAUAAUCAAAUUUCCCAGUUUUUUACAUUUUUAUUUUUAUUAUAUUUUUGACACAAAAUUACAUUUUUUGUAACUUCACUUAGAAAAGGUGAUUUUAUUAUUUAAGAAAGACAUGGCCAUUGAAAUAUGUUUAUUAAACACAUAGAAGGAAAGGAAAUAAAAUAAAACUCCUUUAGAAUCAUGCUAGUCAGAGAUAUUUGUUGUUCCCAAUUUGAGCUAUUUUCAUGUAGGUUUUAUUUAAUGUUUGUAAAUGAUGUUUUACAAUAUAUCGUGUUUUGAAACUUUUAAAUUUAAAACACUGUGAAUAUCUUUGCAUGUCUUCACAUUUUUGUGUAUGGUAUCUGAUUUUAUUUCCAUAUAUAACAUUUGUAAUUAAAAUAAAAUGCAUGCUUACUGUAAAAUAUUCAACUAAUAAAAAAUUUCCCUCUGUCAUCACUGCCCAUACGCUGCAUGGGGAGACACUCAUAGCAAUUUGUUGUAUAGCCUCAGGAUUUCUUUUUACAUACAUACAAACACAUACAUAGAUGUGUUAUCACAUGGGCACAUGGUUGGUUUAAUUAAUCUUCUAUUUUUGAAUAUUUAUGUUGUUUCCAGAUUUUUACGUUAUAUUGAAAUCCAAGACUCUCAAUAGCUGACAUACUCAAAGAUACAUAGACACUGUCUUUGAGAUAAACACUGACCAACAGCUCAAACAAACUGUACAUUUUUGUAGACCGUAUUUUCUUCCAGGACUCCUCAAAAAGAAAAUGGUAAAAUAAUGAACCACAUCUUACAAUGUAUUAAUAAUAAACAUAAAAAAUUGCUUCAAAAGGGAGAUUUCUUUUUGAAAUAGUUAUAUUGCAUUAUAAAAAAUAACACAUAUUUAUUGUAGAAAACUUGAAAACUACACAUAAAAAAUCUAAAUAAAAAUUCCCCCAAAUCUCAGUACCCCAAAAUAGUCAUAUUUUAAUGUAAAUUCAUUUAUAGUGCUUUCUUUUUGUGAUAUGAUCACACUUUACUAUUAUCAAAUAUUCAAGAGCAGGAACAAAGGAUUGGAGUGAACAGUUUCUGAUAGGGUGCCACAUGCGCAAGGAGACUGGUUUCCCUGCAUCCUACUUUAUGGCAUUUAAAAAGCUCUGACCGCCUCCCUAUCUCCAUUUGAUACCAGUGCUUCCUAUUGAUUAUGAUCACCAAUACCCUCCCAGUAAAAUCCAGAAUGGUUUCCAUGAUUUGAUGCCAAGAGCCUUAAAUGAUACGCUGUGUAAGGAGGAUUUCCAUAUUAUUUUUCCAAAUUACUUUUUAGCUUUCACAACACCAUCUGUUGAAUAAUUCUUAUCUUUGUCCUUUCUCACUCAAAACAUUCUGUUAAAUAACUAAGUCUCUUUCUAGGCCGUAUUCUUCUUUUAAUCUAUCUGCAUAAUUUUCAACUAUAUGAUUUUGUUGUUUGCACCUUCAUUCAUUCAACAAAUAUUUAUUGAGCAGUUAUGUUAUUUGUGUUAGCAUAACAGUGAUCAAAACUAACAAAGAGGGGCAAAGACAAAGAGUAUAGUGGGCUAUGCUAUUUUAUGGUGAGUGAUAGAGAAGAUUUCCUGGAUAAAGUGACAAUUGAGCAAGAAACCAAGUAAGGAGGUUAAGAGCUAUGUGACUAUUUAAAGAACAAGAAUUCCAGUUGGGAGUUGAAAGGGAAACAUGAGAGUGGAAAUCUUGAGCUCAGGCAGGACUGGCAUAUUUCAGGAAGUGCAAAAGAGUCAAUAUGGUUGAAAUGAAGUGAUUGGGAGUAAGAAGUAUGAAAAGAGAUCAGGGAGGGGCUGGGGUCUGGUGACUCUGAGCAUGUGGGCCCCUAGAAGACCUUUCCCUUUUAUUCUAAGAGAGAUGAGAAGACAUGAGAAUCUGAGCCAGGGAGUGAAAUUCAUGACAUUGCUGGCUCUUGUUUUGAAAAUAGAACAUGGUGGGCAAUAGACAGGGCAAGAAUGAAAGCCUGGCCACUAAUUAGGAGGCCAUUGCAAUAAUUUAGGUGAAAGCUUUAUGAUGUAUCAGAAAUGGAGUAAUAACAUUUGGAAGGGCUGGGGAAGAUUAGUUGUGAGCCUCCAGAAAACUAGAGUCACAAUCUAAUAAUCUUUAUAUUCUGAUUAUCAGCUAGCCUAGCCAUUCCACACAUCCCACAC
rnacentral:lncRNA from 1 species